AUUUUACUUUAUAAUAUUUUUUGUUAAACUUUUUUUCUCUUCUUUCCUAAAACCCAAUAAAUACUUAACUCAAACCAUCUCACUACCAUUUACAAAUUAUCUUACUACUAUUAAGAAACCAUCUUACUACCAUUCUCAAAAUUUCCAUCUUAUCUCAUUCCCCAAGCAUCCCAUUGGUCUUCCUUGCUCACUCCAUCUCAUGACCUUGCUGCCAGCCACCAGCUACCGUGAAGAACCACCAGCGGCUCCUCAAGCUUCCAACCCCACCAUCUCCUUCAUCCACAGGCCAUUGAAGAUCAAGGCAGUAGCACUGUCCCACGUCCAAGAUUGUCGUCAAUGACCAGUUGCAACUUCUUCCCCAAGCAACCACUGAAAGCUGCCAGCUUUUGCAGACAGAACUGUGAGCUGCCUCACGUUCACCCCGCACCACCUUUCACCACUGCCCCCAAACCUUAAAACCAACUCUGCACCAAUGAAGACCAAUGCUAUUGCUUAUGGCAAUUCAAGGUCAUGCCAUCUUGUGCACACCGACAAAACUAGAUCUCUCUCAUUACUGGCGAAACCAAAUCAGUAGAAAUUGAGACCAUCGUUGUCCUCCCUCCAAUGCCUAGCUUGGAAUCUGCAAUGGAACCACCAUGGACCCCCUCCAGCCAUGAUUCUUGGUUUCCCAUCUGCCCGGGCAAGCCACUAGGACCGAUAGCCCAUUGUCGAGCUCCCAGCUCACGUUGAUGCCACGCCACAGCGCAGCAGCCCCACCUAGCCAUCCUUGGUUGCACGCAGCCAAUAGCCCCACCAUAAGCCAUUCUGUUGAAAUGAGACACGGAAGCACAGCCUCGUCACACCUCAACCACCACUGGACAACCGUGAGCCUUUGCACCUAGCACUGUCCAGCCCCUUCUUCAUGCAACUCCAAAUUGACAACCCUUCCACGUUCAGCCCAGCACCUCCACUGCUUUCUCUCUAGCAAACCACCUCCCCACCACAAAAACCCUCCUCUGUGUGCCGCCACUCAGCCCUCCAAGCGUAGAAAAACAGAGCAGGCUUACACAACUAGCUCAUGCACUGCAUGGUAUUUACAGUGAUCUAACCUUGAACCCGCACAUAGCAGCCCCUCAAUUUGUGGUAUAAACUCCUAUCUCUUUAUCUCAAUGAAUAUUAUGUUUAUGUGAUUGAAUGGUGUUGUGUUUUGAGUGUAAAGGCAGUGGAAUAUCAUGGUUUGAACUUAUGAAAUCAUGAGUAUGCUUUGUCAAGGGGCUUUUGCUUUGAGUAAAGUGGUUUGUGAAGAUUGGUUGGACAGAACUGUAUGUAUUAAGUAUAUUGUGUGUGGAUGAAGUUUGUAAAUAGAGUGGGUGCUUCGAGUGGGUUGUAUGCUGAUCUUAGGUGAUAAAUGAGUAUGGUAUAAUAUUUUUGGUUGGUUAUAUAUGGUAGACAGAUUUAAUGUAUCUUGAAUGUAUGUUUGUGGGACUAUGUGGUUGUGUGGUGGAUUUAUGUUGAACUUGAAUGAUGGAUGAAUUGAGUAUGAGUUCUUUGGGUUGGUUGUAUGCAUUGGACAGAUUUGUAUAUACAUAUUGAAUGUAAUAUGAAUGAAUGAAGUUUAUAUGACUAUACGGUUGGGAUGUUAUGUAGCCAUGAAUGAAGCUUAUAAAGCUUUGUGGUAUGGACAGAUUUUAUAUAUUGAUGGUGUGGUGUUGAACUUCAUGGAUUGAGGGAGGCCAUGGUUUGAAAUUGUGAAGCUAUGUUAUAUGAAAUCAUAUAUUGAGUUUAAAUGGAUGAUGGAUUGAAGGUAUGUGUGUGUAUAUUAAUUUAGUUGAAGGGCUAGUUUUUGCUUAAUCACAAUGAUUUAUGGAUUGGAAUUUACAUGAGGACCAUGAGGUUAAAGAAUUGGACAGAUUUGAGUAUGUUAGGUGUGUUAUGCUUGAACAAUGGUUGUGAUGGAUUUGUGUUGGGCUCAAGUGAUAAAUGAAUAGAGUAUGUGUACAUUUGUGUUUAAUGAUUUUUCAGUGGCAAGUUUAUGAGAGAAUGAUAGAUUUAGGUUCUGUUUUAACCUUGUAACGGGUUAAUGUUGAUGGUUGUGCAAGUAAUACAUGAGAAUAAUGUUUAUCAAAGCUUAUAAUUAGCAAGAAAAGAAUGGAGUUUAUGGAAAUGGGUAAAGUUGGGGUCAAAUUAUAAAUAGUGAAAAGUAUAGGGCUUAUUGUGUAAAUAGUAGAAGUUUAAGGAUCAUUCUGCAAAAAGGCAUUAAGGAUAUGAGAAAGGUUAUUUUUUAGUUUUUAAUAAAAAAAAGUUAAGCUGAGUUAUAACUCUAAAUUAUGAUUUUCCAGAAACGUGAACGCGAAACGAACAUCAACAAUAGUUUUGCCACUAUGGUCCUGCUUCUUGGAACCAAAGAUGUUACAAUGUAUGCAGAACAAAACCCCGAGGAGUAAUAGACGGGAUUGGACGAGGUGGACUAGUGGUGGAUGGACUUAUAUGGGAGAAGUCUAAUCUCUUGUUAUAUUUAUAAGUACUGUUUGUAAUUUCAAGACAAUGUUAUUAUGUGGAUAACUAUUGUUGAGACUACUUUAAGGGCAAGGUGUUAUGUUAUGUUUUGUGAAGUAACUUUGGGAUAUAUUAUGUGGAAGACAAUAUGUUAUGUUUUCUUUUUAUGUAUUGAACUGUUGGAUGUAGGAAUCAGUUAUGGUAUGUUAUCAAGUUA